GCAUCGAUGAAGAACGUAGCGAAAUGCGAUACGUAGUGUGAAUUGCAGAAUUCCGCGAAUCAUCGAGUCUUUGAACGCAAGUUGCGCCCGAGGCUUGUCCGAGGGCAUUUCCGCUAGAGCGUCACCGCGCCCCCCCACCGAUCCACUCUCGCCGCGAGGCGCCAGUCGGGUCGAGUGCAAGUGGCCGUCCCGGUGGAGCGGGCCUCCUUUCGCGAGGAGGCCUGACUUGGAAGGGUCGGCUGAAAUGGAUGGAAUCGGGCCGCCGUGGUGACACAGUCCGCGAUCGGGUGAUUUCGUCGCGAGGCUCCUUCGGGAGGUUCUCGGCGAAUUUUUUCUAAGUGCUUGGCUGCGUCCCCCAGUUGGCUCGGGUUACCUCAUGCAGGUCGAGCGCGCCCCCGCGGCGCGCGUCACGCAUCAGACCUCUAAUCGGAAA
rnacentral:rRNA from 1 species